AACGUAGGGUGCGAGCGUUGUCCGGAAUUACUGGGCGUAAAGAGCUCGUAGGCGGUUUGUCGCGUCGUCCGUGAAAACUUGGGGCUCAACCCCAAGCUUGCGGGCGAUACGGGCAGACUUGAGUACUGCAGGGGAGACUGGAAUUCCUGGUGUAGCGGUGAAAUGCGCAGAUAUCAGGAGGAACACCGGUGGCGAAGGCGGGUCUCUGGGCAGUAACUGACGCUGAGGAGCGAAAGCGUGGGUAGCAAACAGG
rnacentral:rRNA from 1 species